rnacentral:rRNA from 1 species
AGUCGAGCGAACAGACGAGGAGCUUGCUCCUCUGACGUUAGCGGCGGACGGGUGAGUAACACGUGGAUAACCUACCUAUAAGACUGGGAUAACUUCGGGAAACCGGAGCUAAUACCGGAUAAUAUAUUGAACCGCAUGGUUCAAUAGUGAAAGACGGUUUUGCUGUCACUUAUAGAUGGAUCCGCGCCGCAUUAGCUAGUUGGUAAGGUAACGGCUUACCAAGGCAACGAUGCGUAGCCGACCUGAGAGGGUGAUCGGCCACACUGGAACUGAGACACGGUCCAGACUCCUACGGGAGGCAGCAGUAGGGAAUCUUCCGCAAUGGGCGAAAGCCUGACGGAGCAACGCCGCGUGAGUGAUGAAGGUCUUCGGAUCGUAAAACUCUGUUAUUAGGGAAGAACAAAUGUGUAAGUAACUAUGCACGUCUUGACGGUACCUAAUCAGAAAGCCACGGCUAACUACGUGCCAGCAGCCGCGGUAAUACGUAGGUGGCAAGCGUUAUCCGGAAUUAUUGGGCGUAAAGCGCGCGUAGGCGGUUUUUUAAGUCUGAUGUGAAAGCCCACGGCUCAACCGUGGAGGGUCAUUGGAAACUGGAAAACUUGAGUGCAGAAGAGGAAAGUGGAAUUCCAUGUGUAGCGGUGAAAUGCGCAGAGAUAUGGAGGAACACCAGUGGCGAAGGCGACUUUCUGGUCUGUAACUGACGCUGAUGUGCGA